UCCAGAGCAGACCUGUUAGCACAGCCUGACUCGGAUCAUUUGUCUCCAAGUACCAGGGGAUUUUCAAACAGCUGUGGAGCCAACCGUUUCAAAAGGGAGCAUAGUUCUGCUUUGUGGGAGGCCUUGCUCCGAGGAGGGAAGAAUUCGGGUCUGGAGUAGUCACCCCAGUGCUGGGGGUUGGCGUGAAGGUCCCCAGGAGUCAGAGGCAGCCAUGGUCGCCUCUCCCUCUGAAGCCUCCUCCUGGGUGUCCUUCUGUGACUUGCUUGGAAGCCCAGCAGAGCCCUCGGAUGCCCGUGCUUGUCGGGGAGAGUUGGAGGAAGGAGACGCUGGGUUUUUGGACAAGGAGAUGAGCACAUGUGUAGCAGAAAUGACUGAAGAUUCAAGAGAAGUGGUGCGAGUGACAGGACAAGAGUGGCCAGGGUGGGAUUGAAUCAAGACUGCAGGAGGAGGAAUUGGCCAGAGGCAGGAAGAGGGAACUUCUGCUUCUGAGAAGCAGCCUCUGCAGGCCUCAGCUUCUUCAGUCUGGCGGGGAAACAAGGCUGCCAUCAACUCCCAAAUGUUACAUCGCAACAGCUGCAGCCUUGGGAGAGAGACUGGACGGACCCUCUUGGCUCCAAGCCCCAAAGUCUAGAAAAAGAUUCUCACUGGUCCAU